UACGACCAUAUAACGGUGAAAUACUGGUUCCCGUAUAAUCACCGAAGUUAAGCAACUUCGAUCCUGGUUAGUACCUAGAUGGGUGACCAGUCCUGGUGCUGUA